rnacentral:rRNA from 1 species
GAUGAACGCUAGCUACAGGCUUAACACAUGCAAGUCGAGGGGUAGCAGGGUAGCAAUACCGCUGACGACCGGCGCACGGGUGAGUAACACGUAUCCAACCUUCCCAUAACUCGGGGAUAGCCUUUCGAAAGAAAGAUUAAUACCCGAUAGUACUUUGUCAAGGCAUCUUGAAAAAGUUAAAGAUUUAUUGGUUAUGGAUGGGGAUGCGUUCCAUUAGAUAGUUGGUGAGGUAACGGCUCACCAAGUCUUCGAUGGAUAGGGGUUCUGAUGAGCAGGGCCCCCACAUUGGUACUGAGACACGGACCAAACUCCUACGGGAGGCAGCAGUGAGGAAUAUUGGUCAAUGGGCGAGAGCCUGAACCAGCCAAGUAGCGUGAAGGAUGAAGGUCCUAUGGAUUGUAAACUUCUUUUAUAGUAGAAUAAAGUGAGCCACGUGUGGUUUUUUGUAUGUAUACUAUGAAUAAGGAUCGGCUAACUCCGUGCCAGCCGCCGCGGUAA